UUCGAUCAUGGCUCAGAUUGAACGCUGGCGGGAUGCUUUACACAUGCAAGUCGAACGGCAGCAAUGGACUUCGGUCUGGUGGCGAGUGGCGAACGGGUGAGUAAUGUAUCGGAACGUGCCUAGUAGCGGGGGAUAACUACGCGAAAGCGUAGCCAAUACCGCAUACGCCCUCGGGAAAGCGGGGACCUUCGGGCCUCGCACUAUUAGAGCGGCCGAUAUCGGAUUAGCUAGUUGGUGGGUAACGGCUCACCAAGGCGACGAUCCGUAGCUGGUUUGAGGGGACGACCAGCCACACUGGGACUGAGACACGGCCAGACUACGGGAGGCAGCAGUGGGGAAUUUUGGACAAUGGGGGAAACCCUGAUCCAGCCAUCCCGCGUGUGCGAUGAAGGCCUUCGGGUUGUAAAGCACUUUUGGCAGGAAGAAAACGGCACGGAUACCCCGUGCAACUGACGGUACCUGCAGAAUAAGCACCGGCUAAUCACGUGCCAGCAGCCGCGGUAAUACGUAGGGUGCAAGCGUUAAUCGGAAUUACUGGCAAGCGUGCGCAGGCGGUUCGGAAAGAAAGAUGUGAAAUCCCAGAGCUUAACUUUGGAACUGCAUUUUUAACUACCGAGCGAGGUGUCAGAGGGAGGUGGAAUUCCGCGUGUAGCAGGGUGCGGAAUGCGUAGAUAUGCGGAGGAACAAUCGAUGGCGACAGCCUCCUGGAUAACACUGACGCCUUAGCACGAAAGGUGGGGAGCAAAACAGGAUUAGAUACCCCAGUAGUCCACGCCCUAAACGAUGUCAACUAGCUGUUGGGGCCUUCGGGCCUUGUAAAGUAGCUUAACGGGUGAAGUUGACCAUUGGGGAGUACGGUCGCAAGAUUAAAACUCAAAGGAAUUGACGGGGACCCGCACAAGCGGUGGAUGAUGUGGAUUAAUUGAUGCAACGCGAAAAACCUUACCUACCCUUGACAUGUCUUGAAUCCUGAAGAGAUUUGGGAGUGCUCGCAAGAGAACCGGAACACAGGUGCUGCAUGGCUGUCGUCAGCUCGUGUCGUGAGAUGCUGAAGGUCCUGCAACGAGCGUAACUCCUUGGCCAUUAUUGCUACGAAAGGGCACUCUAUCGAGACUGCCGGUGACAAACCGGAGGAAGGUGGAUGACGUCAAGUCCUCGCGGCCCUUAUGGGUAGGGCUUCACACGUCAUACAAUGGGUCGGGACAGAGGUCGCCAACCCGCGAGGGGGAGCCAAUCCUGUGAAACCCGAUCGUAGUCCGGAUCGCAGUCUGUAACUGGACUGCGUGAAGUCGGACCGCGCAGUAAUCGCGGAUCAGCAUGUCGCGGUGAAUACGUUCCCGGGUCUUGUACACACCGCCCGUCACACCAUGGGAGUGGGUUUUACCAGAAGUAGUUGUCUAACCGUAAGGAGGGCGAUUACCACGGUAGGAUUCAUGACUGGGGUGAAGUCGUAACAAGGUGG
rnacentral:rRNA from 1 species